rnacentral:hammerhead_ribozyme from 1 species
CUGCGAAACCGCCGAGAGGCGGUCUGUCUGGCGUGGUGGCCAGGCACUGAUGAGCAGCCAAGA